rnacentral:rRNA from 1 species
AUUGAACGCUGGCGGCAGGCCUAACACAUGCAAGUCGAGCGGAUGACGGGAGCUUGCUCCUUGAUUCAGCGGCGGACGGGUGAGUAAUGCCUAGGAAUCUGCCUGGUAGUGGGGGACAACGAUUCGAAAGGAACGCUAAUACCGCAUACGUCCUACGGGAGAAAGCAGGGGACCUUCGGGCCUUGCGCUAUCAGAUGAGCCUAGGUCGGAUUAGCUAGUUGGUGAGGUAAUGGCUCACCAAGGCGACGAUCCGUAACUGGUCUGAGAGGAUGAUCAGUCACACUGGAACUGAGACACGGUCCAGACUCCUACGGGAGGCAGCAGUGGGGAAUAUUGGACAAUGGGCGAAAGCCUGAUCCAGCCAUGCCGCGUGUGUGAAGAAGGUCUUCGGAUUGUAAAGCACUUUAAGUUGGGAGGAAGGGCAGUAAGUUAAUACCUUGCUGUUUUGACGUUACCGACAGAAUAAGCACCGGCUAACUCUGUGCCAGCCGCCGCGGUAAGAC